rnacentral:rRNA from 1 species
UGGGGAAUAUUGGACAAUGGGCGCAAGCCUGAUCCAGCCAUGCCGCGUGAGUGAUGAAGGCCUUAGGGUUGUAAAGCUCUUUCACCGGUGAAGAUAAUGACGGUAGCCGGAGAAGAAGCCCCGGCUAACUCCGUGCCAGCAGCCGCGGUAAUACGGAGGGGGCUAGCGUUGUUCGGAAUUACUGGGCGUAAAGCGCGCGUAGGCGGUUUGGCAAGUUAGGCGUGAAAGCCCGGGGCUUAACUCCGGAAUUGCGCUUAAAACUGCCAGGCUAGAGUCCGAGAGAGGUGAGUGGAAUUCCCAGUGUAGAGGUGAAAUUCGUAGAUAUUGGGAAGAACACCAGUGGCGAAGGCGGCUCACUGGCUCGGUACUGACGCUGAGGUGCGAAAGCGUGGGGAGCAAACAGGAUUAGAUACCCCCGUAGUCC